rnacentral:rRNA from 1 species
UACGGAGGAGGCAAGCGUUAUCCGGAAUUAUUGGGCGUAAAGCGUCCGUAGGUGGUUUAGUAAGUCUGCUGUUAAAGCGCGGGGCUUAACUCCGUAUCGGCAGUGGAAACUACUAGACUUGAGUGUGGUAGGGGUAGAGGGAAUUCCCAGUGUAGCGGUGAAAUGCGUAGAUAUUGGGAAGAACACCGGUGGCGAAGGCGCUCUACUGGGCCAUAACUGACACUGAUGGACGAAAGCUAGGGGAGCGAAA